GAUGAACGCUGGCGGCGUGCCUAAUACAUGCAAGUCGAGCGAACAGACGAGGAGCUUGCUCCUCUGACGUUAGCGGCGGACGGGUGAGUAACACGUGGAUAACCUACCUAUCAGACUGGGAUAACUUCGGGAAACCGGAGCUAAUACCGGAUAAUAUAUUGAACCGCAUGGUUCAAUAGUGAAAGACGGUUUUGCUGUCACUUAUAGAUGGAUCCGCGCCGCAUUAGCUAGUUGGUAAGGUAACGGCUUACCAAGGCAACGAUGCGUAGCCGACCUGAGAGGGUGAUCGGCCACACUGGAACUGGGACAUGGUCCAGACUCCUACGGGAGGCAGCAGUAGGGAAUCUUCCGCAAUGGGCGAAAGCCUGACGGAGCAACGCCGCGUGAGUGAUGAAGGUCUUCGGAUCGUAAAACUCUGUUAUUAGGGAAGAACAAAUGUGUAAGUAACUAUGCACGUCUUGACGGUACCUAAUCAGAAAGCCACGGCUAACUACGUG
rnacentral:rRNA from 1 species